rnacentral:misc_RNA from 1 species
UACGUAGGUGGCAAGCGUUGUGCGGAAUUAUUGGACGUAAAGCGAGCGCAGGCGGCCUCUUAAGACUGAUGUGAAAGCCCCCGGCUCAACCGGGGAGGUUCAUUGGAAACUGUGUGGCUUGAGUAUAGGAGAGAAGAGUGGAAUUCCACGUGUAGCGGUGAAAUGCGUAGAGAUGUGGAGGAACACCAGUGGCGAAGGCGACUCUUUGGCCUAUAACUGACGCUGAGGCGCGAAAGCGUGGGGAGCAAACAGG